CCCUGGUCCUCCCUACUGCCUCUGAUCUGGAGGACUCACUAAACAGAGAACAUCCCUGGUCAUCCCUACUGCCUCUGAUCUGGAGGACUCACUAAACAGAGAACAUCCCUGGUCAUCCCUACUGCCUCUGAUCUGGAGGACUCACUAAACACAUGCUUCAUUUGUAAAUGAUGUCUGAUUGUUGGAGUGUUCCCCUGGUUAUUUCUUAAAUAAAAUAACAAGAGAAUCGUGCUGUCUGGUUUGCUUAAUAUAUGGAAGGUCAAAUCAUUUAUACUUUUACCACUGAUACUUAAGUAUAUUUUAGCAAUGACGUUUACUUAGUAUUUUACUGGGUGACUUUCACUUUUACUUGAGUCAUUUUCUAUUAACAUAUUAUUAUUGUACCUUUUUCCCUUCAUUUGCCUACUACUGUGUAUAAGCUGUCAUAACAUGUGGGUCUUUUCAUGGGGACCAGGUAUCGGAACGCCUUUGAAGGGUCUACAAAGCCCCCAGGUAAAAGUUGGCUUUUGCAGACAAGGAUUGUAUUGUUACUCCACGACAUAAUAUGUUAUCACAACUCUAUUAAAAGGACAUUCUACACAAGGUGUCACUUCAUUCCUUCUAUUUGAUGGGAACUCCUGGUUAGGAAUGGGGAACGAGUGCUCUCUCUGGGGAAAAAACAUGUUUAUACCUAUGCAGUACCUUUAGCAUUAAUAAACCUCUACUUUAGUAAAGUUAAUAAUUAUGACAGGUGUGUUGUAAUAAAAAUGAGUGGUGUCCACUGACUAAAUGCAGUCUUUCUGGAAAACCCAGAUAUUCACAAAGUGUUUGAUGAAUGACACGUUGCUUCUUCAUGCAAAAUAGAUUUGGACUUUAAAAUUCAAUUAAGCUGCUUUAUUUUCAGGGUUUAGUGAAGGUGGGUCAUUUUUUACCCUUGGGACAAUGGGAGUAAACAGACUGUUAAGACUACACAAGGGUUAAGUCAAGUAUUUACAAGGUGUCUAGUCAUUUCUGGUCGUUAAUGUCUAAUUGACCACACAUUAGUGCAAGUUGAAGUGUUGUCAGUGCUACACAGGUGUCUGUAGUCUAGGUGCUCGUUAUAAGUGCUUGAAAUCAUUUAUUGCCGUGUUUCCUAGCAUCAAGACUGUGAUCGAAGGGUGAAUUGUGACUGAAUUACUGAGCUACAAAUAAUAUUAAGUAGUUAUUUAUAAGUCAAGGUUACUCUACAUCACUCUCGACUCGCCUUGAAAGUCAUCUGCAAUGUGGAACGUCCAACAAUUCAUUGACACAGUUGUGACUGACUCCUUCAUAGCCGUCGGCCAGCUCUUUCACAUCCACCAUCUAAUUGAGGUGAAAGGACAGAAAUGUUGAAAGUGUGUUUUCUGCAGCACCAGUAACCUCAAGAUACUUCACUCACUACAGCUGCUUUUGAAGAACUUUCCAGGUGUUUGUGAUUUACAUUCCGACUUUUGAAAUGUCUCCUUGAUUGGACAUAUUUAGCUAAUAAAAAAGAACAAUAUAUAAAGCAUGCAUCUGUUUUAAGGUUAUUGUGUUUGUGUGUGUGGUGUAGUUCCUCUUGGUGUCCACUAGGUGGCAUUACAGUUUCAAUAUUGU